AAUCAACGCUGGCGGCGUGCCUAACACAUGCAAGUCGAACGCGAGAGUCCCGCAAGGGACAAUUGAGUGGCAAACGGGUGAGUAACACGUGGGUGACCUGCCUUCGAGUGGGGGAUAACGUCCCGAAAGGGACGCUAAUACCGCAUGACAUCCUGCCUUUGGACAGGCGGAGAUCAAAGCCGGGGAUCGCAAGACCUGGCGCUUGAAGAGGGGCCCGCGUCUGAUUAGCUAGUGGUGAGGUAACGGCUCACCAAGGCGACGAUCAGUAUCCGGCCUGAGAGGGCGGACGGACACACUGGGACUGAGACACGGCCCAGACUCCUACGGGAGGCAGCAGUGGGGAAUCUUGGACAAUGGAGGAAACUCUGAUCCAGCCAUGCCGCGUGAGUGA
rnacentral:rRNA from 1 species